CUCAGGUGAUGAAAAUGUUCCAAGACUAGAUUAAGAUGAUGGUUGUGCAACGUGGUAAAUUUGCAAAGGCAUUACACACUUACAAUCUAGGUAACUUUUGUGGUCUGAAAGUUACACUUCAAUAAAGUCAAAUUCUGUUAGUGAAAUAAAGAGAAAACAGAGCAAUAAAAUCUAGAUAAGCAUCAUCCAAGAAUAGCCACCUGGAGUAUUUCAAUGUCAAAUAGGAAAAGCAGGUGACAGAGCAAUUGAGAUAAAAGCUUGGCUCUCGGGCUUGGGCAUGGAGGACAGGUUAUUUUAAGCAGCAGUCCUUAUGUCAAUGAGUUCACAUCUCAGGACAGAGCUGUCCCUCUCCCCCUCUACUGAGUUUGCUCUGGCUGGCUGACCCAUCCUGGGAAUGUGCCCCAUGUCCACUGACUUCUCUGCGAUGAAGCCAAGGCCCCCUGCAGACACAGUCAGUCCUCCAGCACAGAAGCCAGCAGGGAGAGGUGGGGACAAGCAAGCUCCAUUUAAGGCUGGAAAAAUAGAGGAGUGGCAUUUAAUCAGACUUUCUCAUGGGCAGCAUGCACCUCCCUCUGCUUCUCCUGAACUAACAGGAUUUGCAGCUGAGCGUGCUAUGGAAAAUGCUGGCAGAAAUGAAGGAGAUGGGGACAGAGAGGUGUCAGAAGGCACUGGCUUGUAAUAGUCUGUAAUUACCUGGAUUCCUAAACAUCUCUGCAGAGCUGGAACCACUGCUGAAUGUCAUUCUUCCUCAGGCCUAGAGAUAACUCCU
ensembl:lncRNA